UCGUAACAAGGUCUCCGUUGGUGAACCAGCGGAGGGAUCAUUACCGAGUUAUACAACUCAUCAACCCUGUGAACAUACCUAAAACGUUGCUUCGGCGGGAACAGACGGCCCCGUAACACGGGCCGCCCCCGCCAGAGGACCCCCUAACUCUGUUUCUAUUAUGUUUCUUCUGAGUAAAACAAGCAAAUAAAUUAAAACUUUCAACAACGGAUCUCUUGGCUCUGGCAUCGAUGAAGAACGCAGCGAAAUGCGAUAAGUAAUGUGAAUUGCAGAAUUCAGUGAAUCAUCGAAUCUUUGAACGCACAUUGCGCCCGCCAGUAUUCUGGCGGGCAUGCCUGUUCGAGCGUCAUUACAACCCUCAGGCCCCCGGGCCUGGCGUUGGGGAUCGGCGAGGCGCCCCCUGCGGGCACACGCCGUCCCCCAAAUACAGUGGCGGUCCCGCCGCAGCUUCCAUUGCGUAGUAGCUAACACCUCGCAACUGGAGAGCGGCGCGGCCACGCCGUAAAACACCCAACUUCUGAAUGUUGACCUCGAAUCAGGUAGGAAUACCCGCUGAACUUAAGCAUAUCAAUAA
rnacentral:misc_RNA from 1 species